GGACUGUCCUGCGCCUAUACCAUAGGUUAUGAUGCUCACCUGACUAUGUGUGUGUGUCUGUAGGGGGAAGGAGCUUUGCCUCAGCAGCAAACCUGACCAAUGUCUCCUGAGAUGUGAGCUCUUUGAGGACAGAGACCAUGGAUAAUUGUGUCCCUGGGAAGAUGUGCAAUUACCAUUUCCAGAAGGCACAGACCUCCAGAUUGGGAUGCCCUGCUCCUUAGACUUUGAAUGUUACAGCUCCAAGACCCCUUGUGGAUCCCGCAAUGUCUGUGGGCGUUUCUGAAGCAGAAUCAACUGGCUAGCUUCCAGAAGGCUGAAACUACAGAAGGCAGAAGGAAACAUCGGUCACCAUGGCAUGGUUCACUUUUUUGGCAGCCCCAAGUUAGCAGAAGGUACUAGCACUGGCUCAUGAAAAGAGGUCACCACUGGGAGAAAUUCCUGAAAGACCUUCUGAUAAGCAGGUCAGCAGCAUUUUAAAAACCUGAGAUUGAAGAACUCCAGCGCCUUCACAAUCCAAGGGCAGCCCGGGGGUCAGCAGCACCAGCAACUCUUGGAAGCUCAUUAAGAUAGCAGAACCUCAUGUCCACCCAGACCCACGGAAUCAACGUCGGCCUAUCGACAAGAUCCCAGAGACUCAGAGUUUGAGGCAAUAUAUGAUUUCCUCCCUGUGCUUUGGCUGACUUUUCUAGUCUCACGUUGGGGACCUAGCCUCAGUGGGGAGGUCUCGAAGGAAAGAAACUUCUACCUGAUUGUUUCCUGAAAACCACUAGAAAAGUUGGCUUAUCUGGCCAGCUUCACACUCUGAAAAUGGUCUCUACCUUUUUCCUUCUCUCCCCAGCUUCCUGCUGAAACUUUCACCCAGAGAUACAUCUGCUCAGUUGACUCCAGAUUUUUCAUUCAUUUCAAUAAAAGCACAAACAUGGAAGAUGAGAUUUCAGUUUGCCUUGAUUUCUGGGAAUCCUA